rnacentral:rRNA from 1 species
UACGAGAGGCCCAAACGUUAUUCGGAAUUACUGGGCUUAAAGAGUUCGUAGGCGGCGCGGAAAGUAGGGUGUGAAAGCCCUCGGCUUAACCGAGGAAUUGCGCCCUAAACUACCGUGCUUGAGGAAGCUAGAGGUGAGCGGAACUGAUGGUGGAGCGGUGAAAUGCGUUGAUAUCAUCAGGAACACCAGUGGCGAAGGCGGCUUACUGGUCCGGAACUGACGCUGAGGUGCGAAAGCGUGGGGAGCAAACAGG